rnacentral:rRNA from 1 species
CAUUAACGAAUUGUCAUCGGGGCUGAUGCUGCAUAUAUGUGUGCGUGCUCGCUCCUAACAAUCUUUAUCCAAACACCUGUGCACAUAUUUAGAGGGAGAGAGGGAACUCGCAGUUCCCUUCCCUUUAUUUUAUUAUUACACACUGGUUUUCAAUAUUGAACGUGAUUGUGCCAUAAGGCCUUAACAUUAAUACAACUUUUAACAACGGAUCUCUUGGCUCUCGCAUCGAUGAAGAACGCAGCGAAAUGCGAUAAGUAAUGUGAAUUGCAGAAUUCAGUGAAUCAUCGAAUCUUUGAACGCACCUUGCGCUCCCUGGUAUUCCGGGGAGCACGCCUGUUCGAGUGUCGUGAAAUCCUCAAGCCUAGGGCAUUAUAUUGUCCCCUUUGGCUUGGUUGUUGGGCUCUGCCGUUCCUUCAAUCGUAGGGAUGGCUGGCCUUAAAAAUAUUAGCUGGUCUUAAUUGUGGGCAUUGGUUCUACUCAGCGUGAUAAUUAUAAUCUUGACCGCCGAGGAUAUCUUUCGGGAUAGCCAGCUCUCGUUUGGGCCGCUUCUAGUCUGGUUGAACGAAGUUCUGUGAAUCUCGUUUUACCCUUUCAGUUUUGACCUCGAAUCAGGUGGGACUACCCGCUGAACUUAAGCAUAUCAAUAAGCGGAGGAAAAGAAACUAACAAGGAUUCCCCUAGUAACGGCGAGUGAAGCGGGAAGAGCUCAAAUUUAAAAUCUGGCAGUCUUUGAUUGUCCGAAUUGUAAUCUAGAGAAGCGUUUUCCGCGCUGGACUGUGUA